UAGAUUAAGGGGGCUAGAUUGAUAC
rnacentral:sRNA from 1 species